CUUGGCCCGGACAACAGCAAGCAAGGUUGCCAAAGACCUUUCCUGCUAUGAUCCCGCCAGCGUUAGCCAAGGUUGAUGUAGGGCCCGAUUAGGACCCUCAAUGGACACCCAUUAGGUUGUUAUCCACACAAGUGCAAGAGCCCCGGAGCAAUUCCCGCUUUCUUAUAUACAUGAUACGCGAUCGGUGGCUGACAUACUGUAGACUGGCGCUAUUCUGCUAGCUCAUUUCAUUUCAAGCAUUCAACAAGCUAUCAUGCACAUAGUAUGACAAAAACAAAUAAACUUUUUUUUUUGGACCCAGCUGUAGUUACUAGAGCAGGGAGUGGAUAAACGAUCCAUGUCAUCGUAAAAUUGGAGUCAACGAUUCACAAAACUGCCUUAGGCAGUCGUGUACAAUCCCCGUUGAUUAGCCGUAAUGAGUAGAAUUCAAAAGUUGGAACCAACCGAUGGCAGAGGACCUUCAAGAUCCAUAACAUUUUCAUUGCGGUGAAUUUUUUUUGGUUUUGUUUUGGUAGCUUCUAAAUGGCCAUUCGUGGGCCUUGCAGUGUAACGGGAGCACCGACUUAAGCUUGCGACAAACCGGCGCAUGAAAGGACAAAUGCAAGCUAUUUCGAGACGGUAGAGACUGAAAAUGCCACAUGCGAUGCAAUAUUUUUAACCAGAGGCAACCAUUGAAAGAUCCGCAAGGACAGAAUGGCGAGCAGUUUCUAACCAAUGUUUCAAGUUUUUCCCGAAGAUUGAGGCAUCAAAUGUUAUUUUUGGACUUCGGUAAGCCACAGACUGAGCAAAAAGGAGUACAAAUCUAAGCAAAGGCUUUGAAGCCUCACAGGGGCGCGAGCCGGCCUAGUGACCUCUAACAAGGAGCUUCUAAAGGAGGGCAAUGUGUCGACAAGGACAUUACCGUCUCCUCCAAGUGUUGCCGAGUCCACUUUGCCAUUUAGGAGGACACAGAACCAAAUUAUUGUCUCCGCUCAGUCAGCCUCGGAAUGUCCCCCCCCCACCCCAUUUUGUCGUCAGCGCUCAGAUGCCAGUGCCCAGCCGUCUCGAUUGAGGAAUGCGGCGCUUCUGCCGAUGUCGCGUGCGUUUCUUCCCCGGCGCAGCCUGCUCGAUGGGAACGAAGGGUGAUUUCUUCACUCUCUCCGGCCAAGCUUGCUGCCUCAUGGUGCCUGGCGCAACUGCUGUCGGCAGGCCCCUCCUAUGGAGAAGCAAACAAACAAGAAUACAGAUCAGUACACAGCCAGUCGCCACUCCUCAACCUAACAGACACCUUUUUAUUUGAGUAACUCAAAUUAUGUCGAAUGAAACUAAACAAUCAAGAGAUUUCCAAUUUUCCCCAGAUUUGUGGUUAAUAUGUCCGUCUCGCAUAUUUCUCGAUUUAAGGGUUUCAGAUGUCAGGUCUGGCCAUCCUGUGUUGGCUCUUUGGGUUUUGUCCGACGUCCCAAGUCCACUGCUUUGGUCUAACCAGAAGAGAUGGACAGAUACAGAUGCAAACACCCGUGUGGUUUGCGCAGUCAGUAUCUCAUUGUUAUUUUCUCGCCGUUUCUGCUUUAGAAUACUGGAUUAACUGCCGCGCACCAUGACACCGAUUGCAGUUGAGGUAGAGUAGGGCGGAAAAAAGGGUCUUGAGCAGUUUCAAUGGAAAUAGGAGUGAAAAGAAAGAGUACUCUAUUCGCUUCUGCUUUUCUGUGAAAUUCUUAACGUUUCACAUUUUUUUGUCGGUGCCCUCUACUCUAUACGUACAGUGUGUGUUUCUGUGUGUGUGUGUGUUUGGGCCGGGGGUGGGGUGUGGGGGGGGGGGGGGUCUUCACAGUAGAGGAUAGUGUUCCUGCUGCCAGCUGACACACAAAGGCAGCUUUCAGGACUCACCUGCCCACGUCCUCCACCACUCAUUCCCAUUCCUCAUUACUCAAGCCAGAAGAAGUAAUGGCGGCCACACGGUGCGAGGAACUUGGAUAAAUAAUACCUUGUCUGAUAUGAAUGAGACAGCUAUUGCCAACAACGGCUGUGAACACUCUGGGUAUGUUAACUGUAUGAUCCAUUUUAGGGGUGGGUUUGGUUGAAAAGGGAGACAAAAGGAAAUUGAAAGUGAGGUUACAUUCGCCACAUACCGUAUUUUCUGCACUAUAAGGCGCUUCGGGGUAUAAGGCGCACCUUCAAUGAAUGGCCUAUUUUAAAACCAUUUUAUCUAUGAGGCACAGCACAUUUUAAGGCGCAUAGAAUAGAAGCUACAAUCGUGGCUGCGGUUGCAUUAUGCCUCCACUAGAUGGAGUUAUACUAAAGGAAUACAAUAAAAUACAGCUUCAUUAAUAUUGAGCCUUCACAACCGCUGCAGCUGUAACAAAGUGCUUGACAGAAGAUUUAAAAUACUACGUCCAAGAAAUGAGAAUAUUGAUCCAUAUACAGUAUAAGACGCACUGUCGGCUUUUGAAAAAAAUCGAAUGCUUUUUGGUGUGCCUUGUAGUACGGAAAAUAUGGUCAUUUGGUUCCAUAAGUGACUGGAAAACGAGUGCUCAGAAGCUACGGAUGGGCGAUCAACUGGUAUACUGGACCGUAAAUUCAUGUAUAUUAUACGUGAAAAGAAAAUUGUCCCUCUGUUCUCUGAUCUUUGGCUUUGGCAUAGCUGUAUUUUGCGAUAUAUUUUCGGCUGCUGCAGUUCCACAUUUGCCGAAGCAUAAAAACGAGUCAAACAAAA